AAGAUUCGAACCUGCAGCAGGUUCGGGUCGAACGCAGUGAGACAACGGAGCCGCUUGCGGCGACGGCCCGAAGGGCGAGCGAAGCGAGUCAUCCUGCACGACCCACCA
rnacentral:sRNA from 1 species